AGUUUGAUCCUGGCUCAGGAUGAACGCUGGCGGCGUGCCUAACACAUGCAAGUCGAACGAGCGAGAGAUGAAACCUAGUGAUUCUCGAGCGAGUGGCGGACGGGUGAGUAACGCGUGGGUAACCUGCCUUACAGAGGGGGAUAACAGUCUGAAAAGACUGCUAAUACCGCAUAAGCACACAGUACCGCAUGGUACAGGGUGAAAAGAUUUAUCACUGUAAGAUGGACCCGCGUCUGAUUAGCCAGUUGGCAGGGUAACGGCCUACCAAAGCGACGAUCAGUAGCCGACCUGAGAGGGUGAUCGGCCACAUUGGGACUGAGACACGGCCCAAACUCCUACGGGAGGCAGCAGUGGGGGAUAUUGCACAAUGGAGGAAACUCUGAUGCAGCGAACCGCCGCGUGAGUGAAGAAGUAUUUCGGUAUGUAAAGCUCUAUCAGCAGGGAAGAUAAUGACAGUACCUGACCAAGAAGCCCCGGCUAACUACGUGCCAGCAGCCGC
rnacentral:rRNA from 1 species